CAAAGGAGCGUCGCUAGUGGCAGCAGGAGUCCCAACAUCCAGGAUCACUCCCUCCCCAGUUAACGACUGCCAGAAGCAGAAGCAGCAACAAAUCGUUGAGCUUCGACGUCCCCGCCUCCCCACUUUUCCAGCCGCCGGCGCGCCAGGUGAUUGGACAGCAGCCAGACUCUGCUGCAUGAAACAACACAUUUAUCAAACCUAUGAAUCUCCCUGCUCCCCAGGAAAGCUUUUGAUGUGCUGAAGAGGGAACCAGAUACUUUCCAUUGUGGUUGGAUCCCGCAAAGCCCUUUCACACAGCAGGCUCAGUCC